rnacentral:rRNA from 1 species
AUUGAACGCUAGCGGGAGGCCUAACACAUGCAAGUCGAACGAGUGGCGGACGGGUGAGUAAUAUAUGGGACCCUGCCUGAUAGAGGGGGAUAACUACUGGAAACUGUAGCUAAUACCGCAUACCAUCAGAUGUGCCCAUAUGGGAUUAGCUAGUUGGUGGGGUAACGGCUCACCAAGGCGACGAUCCCUAGCUGGUCUGAGAGGAUGACCAGCCACACUGGAACUGAGACACGGUCCAGACUCCUACGGGAGGAAGCAGUGGGGAAUAUUGCACAAUGGGCGCAACCCUGAUGCAGCCAUGCCGCGUGUAUGAAGAAGGCCUUCGGGUUGUAAAGUACUUUCAGCAGGGAGGCGUUAUCCGCAGAAGAAGCACCGGCUAACUACGUGCCAGCAGCCGCGGUAAUUC